AAGUACUCCCGAAUCCACCAAAUGAGGAUAGGGAUAACGGCUGGUUGGCACAGCCAGCGGUGCGCUUGUUCGAUUGUAGCGAGGGUCGGUUCGCCCCGCGAGAACAAGUCGUUAACCGCGAACCGUAAUAUCCCAACUCGGGGGGAAUCCUCGCCGUUUACGGCGGAGA
rnacentral:ncRNA from 1 species